rnacentral:lncRNA from 1 species
AUUUCUCUGUGCUCCAAAUCGCUCUUCUUCGGCGGCGUUGCUUCAAGGCUCUAUGUCUUUUUAUUAUUGUGAUGGUUAGAUUUUUUAUUUUCUCCUCAAACUCUUUUCUGUAUUUUAUGGAUCUGCUAUAUUAAAAGACAAUGAAAAUACAGAGAGAUUCAUGCCUUUUUCUAUAUUGAUAAUUUAGUCUAAAAGGUACAUUUUUUAUUUGAAAAAGUUUAUUGUGGUUGUUUGCAUGCCAUUUUUAUGAAUUCUUAAUGUUUUUGAUAUUUCUUGAAUAUUGUAUACAUAUGGAAGAUGCGAGAAUUUGAAAUGGCUAUUCAAAAUUUCUGCAUGUGAGUUCGCAUUUUCUUCUCGCAUUUUUAUGAUAUAAUUCACUCUUUUUGGUGUUCGAACACUGCAUCACAUGGUGGUACAAAGAGCAACCUUAUUGGUUCGAUCUUUCAAGAGUAGAAAAUAUUGAUUUCCGAUCUAGAUACAAGUUUUGGGAAUUUACUUAGUAUUUUAAUUUUAAUUUUUGAGUGUUGUUUGGAGUUAUAUUUCUCAUAAUGUUUAAGGUUUUUGUUUGUUUACUUAUUCCCCUGCAGUAGUUUUCCUUCUAAAUUAUUUCUUGAUUUUGACAUACCUUUAAAUUUUGGCUCAUGUUAGUUACUAGGGUAACAAUUCUUCUAUUGUGUGGAACAUGUUUCUCAUAAACUUAUAAGCAACGUUGAAAGUUUUUGGACUAAUUUAGGUAGGAUUUGAUAGAAAGUAAAAUUAUUGACUGAAAAUUAUUACUUUCAGAACGAAAAUAAUAGUGAAAAAUACUUCUUAUGCCUACACUUGGGACCUCACCUUCCAAUCUAAUACACUACUUCAUUAAUCAAUUGCCUGUUUUCGAGUAGUUUUUUACUAUAUCUUUGAUAUGUUUAGAGAAAAUUGAUCCAACGAUCUAGACAUGAGUGAAGAAAUUAACGUAUAAUAUUUCUUUUGCCUUUCGCAGGUUAAGAGUGAUCAAGUUAUCCUAAAAACUUCUAGGUGAAGCACUCUGUUCUGCUUGUACCGGCGAGGACAUGGGACUUCUGCUGAAAUUAUUGUUCACUACACCAUAGGCAAUGUGGAGGUCACUUUUUUGGAGAUGUACAUGUUUUGGGUCUUAACUGUAAAGUACCCUCCUCCUUUGGCACUCUGAUCUAUCUUGCACUCAUACCACUAAAGAACCAAGGUAGUUUUCUCCAUUUUUUGUGCUUGUAAUACAUAAAUGUGUCUUAUAGUUAUGGCUAUGUAUGAGUUUUUAAUAAAGAUCAAGUGUUACAGUAGAUGAACUCACUUCCUAUCUAUAUUUGCCUAUUUUUUUAUUUUUUUUAAAAAAAACUAAUAAUAAAUCAAUUGACACUAUCAUCUAGACACAAUAUUAUUGUGAUCCAUAGGUAUCAAAGUUAAUCUAAGUCAGAGACAACACUAAAUUGAGAUUCCAACUACAUCUGAAAACAUGUUGUUAAUUCAACUACCAAGUCAUGAUCCUUCUGCGCUAUGACCUUAUGAGUUGAAUGAGCACAUGCGACAUGAGAGCUGAAAAAUUAGAAAUCAUUGUUUCAAAAUUAUGAAUAGGAUGUCAUAAUGGUAUCCAAGAGAGUAACAACAUAUAAAUGAAAUAAGACUACAAGAGAGAUAUGUUGAUCCGUUUUAAUAACCGUGUUGGUAAGUCAAUAUGCCACUUUCUGAUUUUAGUAGAUAUUUGCAUCUAUUUAGAUUAGAUGUCUCAGCUUAUUAUGAUAGUUAAGAAUUGAUGAAAGACUACUAUUUCAAAUACUCUAUAUAGUGUUGUUAUGAUUGAUGAGAUAGUGCCGUUUUGUUUCUAUGAGAUUUUUUCCUUUGUUGUGUGAAUUUCAAUGUCCGUUUGGAUAUAAGAACUAAAACCUGAAAUUCGGUAAAAUAACUGUUGAAAAAAUGUUUCUAUUCUCAAACUGAAUUUUUCGUUCCAAGUCUUAAAAGAAGAGAGGAUCACUGAUAAUUCAAAUAUUUAAGAACUCUUUAAUAAGUUUUGCUCUCUUAUAAUAUAAUAAAUUCUUAUUUGUACUAGGCUUUCUUCUAUAGUCCUAUAUUACCUUGCACGCAACAAUGUUAUUAUAAUCAAAAACCUUGGAAACAUAUGUCAUAUGUUUGAGAAAGUUAAUAGGGCAAGAAAUGUAACAAGACAAAUGAAUAUCAAUUACUUUGUUAUAUUUUCUUUUGAGCAUUUUAUUUGUGUAUUGGUAAUAGUUGAAUUGAGUUUGUAUUGUUUGUUUUAAGCUAAUUUGUAUUUUCUUGCUAAAAAAUUGUAGUUGUGUUAAGCAUAUGACUUUACUGUAUUGACGUCUACUAUAUUAAAUAAAAAUCCUACCUUACUUUAGUAACUAUAUAACCAUUCCAUUUCACACGCUUACAAGUUACAGCUUUAUAGUGUCAUAUAUGUUAGUUCAUGUUUCUCAGAGACAACAUUUAUAUCCGACACUCAGCAGAUAGGAAAAUUAGGUGUGGCAUCAUAGCGGGGGCGAUCAUAUGCUACUUCAGAGUUCCAGAUUUACAUGUAAGUUAAUAUGCCAGUUUCUGUUAAAAUGUUUGAGGCAACUUCACAUGAGUUUAGUUGUUCUUAGCAGUUAUUUAUAUCAAUUUACAUUUGAUGCUUCAUCUUAGUGCGGUUGUUUCAAAUUAUGAAAUGAAAAUCGUUCUUCACUUUGAUGUUAAUUAAAAUUUUACAGUAAAAAUUGAUUGGUAAUACUUUUCAAGAAUGGAACAAGGAUUGCAACCUCUAUAAUGAGAAAAUUUUGCACAACUAAGUAAUAUUCUACGUUGCAUUGAACAUGGAAAAUUUAUCAGUUUAUCUCAAGUAUUGUACAAAAGUUUUGAUUCCCCUGUUUUUGGGAGAAAUAUUGGAGCACCAUCAUAUAUGGCACCAACAUUAAGUUUACGAAAGUCUGGUAUUGAAGUACCAUCGAAGUAUAUGCAAGAUUCAUUAUCAAAAUUGCGAAGAUGGAGUUCAGAUU